GGCUGGGCGGGCGUGUCCGCGCUGCCGUCUCUCGCUGUGGGUUCGCGACCCGGGGCGUGGCGGGCCCGGGCCCGGUGGGCCGCGAGCCGGACCCCGAUUCCGACUGGGAGCCUGAAGAGCGGGAGCUGCAGGAGCUGGAGAGGUACCAGCUCCUCCUCGGGCCCUCGGCUUGAAGCAGGGCUCUCGGCGCCCCGGCGCUCCAGGCCGCGCCCCCUUGGCGCCGGGCGUCCUGCCGUGGCGUGCGCAGCGGCCCGUGUGUCGUCUUCCCCUUUGUCAGGGCGCAGGGGAGGUGUGUUCGGCUCCCUGGGGACCGCCGGUCUCCUCGCCCGUGGCGUAUUUCAUCGUGUGUGUAGAGUUCGGCUUGCUUGUGGGCAGUUACUGUUCUAGAUGUUAGGUUCCAGGGGGCGGUGCACGGAGCAGCAGCACGCCGGCGCCCUCGGCCCGGCCGCCCCGUGAUUCAGCCCCGGGCCAGGCUCUUCAAAACCCACCUUGCUUCCACGCGUGGCUCCUGCCACUGGUUCUCUCCCCCAGCACCCUGAAACGACAGAAAAAAGCAAUCCGAUUCCAGAAGAUUCGGAGGCAAAUGGAGGCGCCUGGUGCCCCGCCCAGAACCCUGACGUGGGAGUCCAUGGAGCAGAUCCGUGACAGCAAGAUACCUUCCAUCUGCUGAUGGAGUCCCGAGAUGCCCUCGACAGCAUGGCUGGACCAGGCCCGAGCCAGGAUCUCAGAAUUCCAGCCAGGGCUCCCACGUGGGCGGCGGGCACCCCAGGACUUGGGCCGUCUUCUCGCCUUAGAAGCUGGUCAUGGGGACCCUGAUUGGCAGCGGAACAGCCAUGACAGAACCCACUGAGGCCCUGCAGGCGGCACCUCCGGCUCCAUAGUGCCCACCCACGCUUCUCUUUCUGUUGUUGAAGUUUUCUGACAGAAAACAGAGUAAUGCGUUGUUCCAUAAGCCUGGCAUCUAGGUUUAGCAAUUUUUGACAUCACACAAUUGGUCGUCACUUUCAACAUAACACAGCUGGUCACAGCACAAAAUUUUUGCUGAAAUUUUAAAAUAGUAGAUUGCAAACACCUCAACAUUUAAUUUCUGAAUAGUAGAUCUUGAUGUUCUUUCUUGAUUUUGGUAACUGCAGUUACACAGAUAGAGGGAGAGAGGUAGCAAGAUCUUCCAUCAUGGAUCAGAAGUGGAGGGCCGGUGCCGCGGCUCACUAGGCUAAUCCUCCACCUGCGGUGCUGGCACCCUGGGUUUUAGUCCCGGUUGGGGCGCCGAAUUCUGUCCCAGUUGCCCCUCUUCCAGGCCAGCUCUGCUGUGGUCCAGGAGUGCAGUGGAGGAUGGCCCAGGUGCUUGGGCCUGCACCCCAUGGGAGACCAGGAGAAGCACCUGGCUCCUGGCUUUGGAUCGGUGCAGCACGCCGGCCGCAGCGGCCAUUUGGGGGGUGAACCAACGGAAGGAAGACGUUUCUCUCUGUGUCUCUCACUGUCUAGCUCUGCCUGUCAAAAAAAAAAAAAAAAAAAAAAAGCAGCCGGGAUGUGAACCAUUGCCCAUACGGGGUGCUGAGUGUCACAGCGGCAGCUGUACCCUCUGUGCCGCAAUGCCGUCACCCAUGGUGUUCUUAACCUAAUGGGGCUCCCAGUCCUGGUUACGUGGUUAAUGCGCAUUUUCCUGAAGAGAGAAUCUAUUUUAGAGCAUCUUUAAAGGGCUCGUUUUUAAGUUGUAAAAUUUUUUUGUUGUUGUUGUGCUAACAGUGAACAUUAUUUGUCCCGCUGGUCUCCUGUGGGUACAGUUUUUGGUGUGUUUUUUACAGUCCAGAGGGUUUAUUUUUUAAACACCUGUGAUGCCGUGAAUUCGUGGGGAGUGGGUUCUCACGGCUCAGGCCCCUUCCAGCAUGUGCCACCUGGGCUUCUCUGGGUGGAGCCGGCUGGCGCCUCAGUUGAACCGGGUGCCUCUCUCUGACUUCCUCCUUGCUCUGAUGGUUUUCCUCCACACGUUUCAGGAAGCCCUCUUGCCUCCUAGGGUGCUUAUGCUCAGUGCGCACAAGGACUCUCCUGGCCGGAAUCUGGCCAGUGCCAACCGCAAGCGGAGUGAUGCCGCCGACUCUGCUGGUGGCGCCGUGGCCUCCAGGGGGCGCUCCUUUAUGAACAGUUCCCGUUCCCUUGAUGUCUGCGCUGUCGCCUUUCUUGUAAAUGCGCAAAGGCAGAACCCCGUGUUUUCUCCAGAUGCCUGGAGAACACGUAUCGGGUGCCUCUCCUCUUUCUCUUUCUGUUCAUCAUCUUGGCGAGUUACUGAAGAUAAGGGUUCUGGCUGAAAAGCCUAUGGGUGGCCAGCGCCGCGGCUCAAUAGGCUAAUCCUCCACCUGUGGUGCCGGUACACCGGGUUCUAGUCCCGGUUGCUCCUCUUCCAGUCCAGCUCUCUGCUAUGGCCCGGGAGUGCAGUGGAGGAUGGCCCAAGUGCUUGGGCCCUGCACCCCAUGGGAGACCAGGAGAAGCACCUGGCUCCUGGCUUUGGAUCAGCACGGUGCGCCGGCUGCAGCGCAGCGGCCAUUGGAGAGUGAACCAAGGGUAAAAGGAAGACCUUUCUCUCUGUCUCUCUCACUGUCCACUCUGCAUGUCAAAAAAAAAAAAAAAAAAAAAGCCUAUGGGUACAGUUUUUUAAAUAGUUUUUGUGUCUUUUUCCAGAUUUCUUUAUGCAAAUACAAUCACAUAUGAAUAUAAGUGUUUUUUUUUUUUAAUUUAUUUUACUUAUUUGAAAGGCAGAGCCACAGAGGGAGAAAGAGAGCUUCCAUCCACUGGUUCAUUCCCCAAAUGGCCACAACAACUGGGGCUGGGCCAGUCCCGCGCUAGGAGCCCCUCCCAGGUCUCCCACAUGAGUGCAGGGACCCAAGGGCCAGGGCCAUCCUCUGCUUCUUUCCCUGGUGCAUUAGCAGUGAGCCAGAUCGGAGGUGGAGCAGCUGGGACUUGAACCAGCACACAUAUGGGAUGCCAGCACCACAGGCAGCAGCUUAACCUGCUAUGCCACAGUGCCAGCCCCCCCAAAUAUGAAUUAUUUUCACUGUCUCGCUCAUGAAAAGAAACAUACUAUAAAUAAGUUGCUUUGGGGCCAGCUGGAGUAGGUUGGGCCUCUGCCUGCCAUGCCAGCAUCCCGUCUGGGCAUGGAUUGGAGACCUGGCUGCUCCACUUCUAAUCCAGCUCCCUGCUGGUGCACCUGGGAAAGCAGCGGCUGACGGCCCCAGUCCUUGAGCCCCUGCGCUCACAGGGGACACCUGGAAGAAGCAGCCAUCUGGGGAGUGAAACAGCUUACAGAAGGUCUCUCUCACUAACUCUGUCCUCUUUGUGACUCUGCCUUUCAGAUGGAAAUAUGUGUGUGUGUGUAUUCAUUUAUUUUAGAUUUCAUUUAUUUAUUUGAAAGGGAGAGGUACAGAGAGAGGGAGAGACAGAGAUCUGUAAAUCGACCACUGAGAGAGCUUGAGAAUAGAAAGCUACUCAUGAGGUUGCACCGCCUGAAAUCCUUCCCUGGCUCACGUCACCUAAAUGCAAGGUGAUCUUGCCCCUGCCUGGCCUUUGAGCCGAGUCCCAGCAGAGCUGCUGAUCGGCGUUUCACGUGCUGUCCUCCCUCCUCACCCCUCCCCUCUCUUGACAUGACUGCUUUUCAACCCUGCAGACCAGCUUUAGCUUGGACUUCUUGAUGAGGGCCUAGUCCGGGCUGUUUGUUGGUGACUUGGUUGCCCACCCCUGGGUUUCCCUUUUGGUGUUCUCCCUGCAGCCUAAUAGUCACUAUGCAGCCAUCUGUGUUAAACUGUGUGCCCCUGGAAGGAAGGGGAGUCCUUCGUCCCAGGAUCUAAGGUAUCUGCAUAAGGAGUUUGCAGAGACCUGGUCAGUUCCCAGGUUGGCUGAAGGCUUUGAUGUCAGCACUGAUGUGAUCCGAAGGGUUUUAAAAAGCAAAUUUGUACCCUCCUUGGAACAGAAACUGAAGCAGGAUCAGAAAGUCCUUG